GGGAAAUACAGGUUUAGAGAGACCCAUCAUGGAAUCUGAGACAGCUGUAGUUCCAUCCAGCUAUGAAAGCCCAGGUUUCAUUAAGGAGAUCCUGCCUGCUGCAGAGAAGACGGCUCUGUUGUACAAAAUAUCUUACCUGUGUCUGGCCAAAUUCCCCUCUCUGGAGAGAAUAAUCAGAGCCAAUGCUGUGGAGGCCCAGAUGGUCUUCUCCUCCUCUGAGGCUCUGCUUCUGCUGGUAUUUCAGUCACACUGUUUCCAAACAGUGUGUUAGCACUAGUGACAACAUGGUCAACACAUUAUUCCCCAUGCUGAAAGCUGCUGUCAGAAAAGGAAAUGCUCUAGUAGCCACCCAAUUCCUGGGGAAAGCAAGGAUAUGGAUCCAUGAUAUCAUCAAAGAAGUCGAACACAUAGUUGACAUUUACAAGAAGCUCAACAAUGGGGUGGCGAGUGCUACCAGUGAUGUUAUUUCAACCAAAGUGAAAACCGAUGAGGACAUUAAAAAGAUGACCGCUGAACAAUCGCUUCUGCAGGAGGCUGUUGACACCUACAAACGUAAACUGAAUGACAUCCAGGUGAAGAUGAAAGAGACCGAUGACCAACUCAACAAUGCUGAGAAGGAGCUGGAGGAUCUCGUUCAAAACAUCAGCAGUAGAAAUUCCAAGUUUGGCAUUGCUGCUGCCGUGGUUCCCUUCAUAGGGUGGAUGGUUAAUGCUGGCCAGCAGGCGGUCAAUGACCCUAAAGACAAAGCAGCCAUUAAGAUGGCCGAGAUCAAGUUGAAUAAGGCUCAGAAGGAAAAGUUUGACUUGACCAGUAGGGAGUAG
rnacentral:lncRNA from 1 species